AGUGAACGCUGGCGGUAGGCCUAACACAUGCAAGUCGAACGGCAGCACAGGAGAGCUUGCUCUCUGGGUGGCGAGUGGCGGACGGGUGAGGAAUACAUCGGAAUCUACUCUGUCGUGGGGGAUAACGUAGGGAAACUUACGCUAAUACCGCAUACGACCUACGGGUGAAAGCAGGGGACCUUCGGGCCUUGCGCGAUUGAAUGAGCCGAUGUCGGAUUAGCUAGUUGGCGGGGUAAAGGCCCACCAAGGCGACGAUCUGUAGCUGGUCUGAGGGGAUGAUCAGCCACACUGGAACUGAGACACAGUCCAGACUCCUACGGGAGGCAGCAGUGGGGAAUAUUGGACAAUGGGCGCAAGCCUGAUCCAGCCAUACCGCGUGGGUGAAGAAGGCCUUCGGGUUGUAAAGCCCUUUUGUUGGGAAAGAAAUCCAGCUGGCUAAUACCCGGUUGGGAUGACGGCACCCAAAGAAUAAGCACCGGCUAACUUCGUGCCAGCCGCCGCGGUAA
rnacentral:rRNA from 1 species